GUCUUUUGUUGUUUAUAAAAAGUCUGUUCUGCCCCCUGAUUUUAUAAAUGGCCGCAGUAUAUUAACUGUGCAAAGGUAGCAUAAUCAUUAGUUUUUUAAUUGGAGACUUGUAUGAAUGAUUGGACGAGGUAUAAGCUGUUUCAAAACAAUAAAUAGAAUUUUAUUUUUUAGUCAAAAAGCUAAAAUUUAUUUAAAAGACGAGAAGACCCUAUAGAUCUUUAUAACAUUUUUUUUUAUGAAUUAUAAAUAAUUUUUUGUUUUGUAAAUAUUUUGUUAUUUUGUUGGGGUGACAUUGAAAUUUGAUUAACUUUUGAUUAAUUAAACCAUUAAUUUAUGUUUAAAUGAUCCUUUUAUAUUGAUUAAAAAUCUAAGUUACCUUAGGGAUAACAGCGUAAUUAUUUUGGAGAGUUCAUAUCGAUAAAAUAGUUUGCGACCUCGAUGUUGGAUUAAAAUUAAUUUUGGGCGUAGCCGUUUGAAGUAUUAAGUCUGUUCGACUUUUAAUUUUUU
rnacentral:rRNA from 1 species